GACGGAGGAUGCAAGUGUUAUCCGGAAUCACUGGGCGUAAAGCGUCUGUAGGUGGUCAAAUAAGUCAACUGUUAAAUCUUGAGGCUCAACCUCAAAAUCGCAGUCGAAACUAUUAGGCUAGAGUAUAGUAGGGGUAAAGGGAAUUUCCAGUGGAGCGGUGAAAUGCGUAGAGAUUGGAAAGAGCACCGAUGGCGAAGGCACUUUACUGGGCUAUUACUAACACUCAGAGACGAAAGCUAGGGUAGCAAAUGGG
rnacentral:rRNA from 1 species